GCGGCAACGUGGGCUCACCAUCGACCAAACUCUGAAGGUGUCCCCGAGUCUCAUGGGGCAUUCCACCCCUAUGAUGCUCCUCUCCCUCUCUUUGAUCGUUCUCCUCUUCUCAGCUCUGAUCAUUUCUCCAUCUCACUCACGGUGGAGAUGUUGCAGUGAGCUCGCGAGGGCAUGGGAGGAUGGCGAGGGCAGCGGCGUUUGCGCCACCUUCGCCUGCUGCCAAUUCGAGGCUCCCUAGUCAUGGUUAAGGCGUGGAACUUCUACCUCAUGGCUUCGAAUGUCCUUUGGGUAUCUACCUCAUGGUUCGGCCUAUUGCCGCUCUAGUGCGUCCAGUUUCUUUAUCCUUUCUGAGUAUUAGAAGUUUAAACUUGGUGGCUUUGUCUACUAAAGAGAUAUUAGGUUUGGGCGUAGUUACUGUUAUGAAUUUGGAGUCUGUAUUGGGACCUAUCGAUGAAAGAGAAUUGCAGGGAAAAUAGAUAUCUCCUAAAAAUAAAAGUGGUUUUCCUUGAUUUCUUUCAUCUAA